ensembl:lncRNA
AUGGCAUUUUACCACAAUUUUUUUUAAGUGAGAAACAAAGAGUCCAGGGGUAGAUUUCAGGCAUGGCUGGAUCCAAGAUUCUCUCCCUCUCUGAGGCCCUCUUUUCUCUCUCUCUGGCUUCAUUCCCAGCAGGCUCCCCCCAAGCGGUGACAAAGGCCAUCCGGAAAGGUCCAGGGCUGCCUCGCCCAGCCUCCCAACAUGAGCAGGAAGGAAGCGCUUCACGGCCAACAGUUCCUGGAAGUCCCAGGUCGAGUCUCGGUGGUUGGCGUUAGGACUUGAGUCGGCCCCUCAGACAAUCACUGGGGCCAGGGGGUUGGGAUGCUCUGACUGGCCAGGCCUGGGUCACACGCCCACCCCCAGAGCUGAGGGAGCCCCCCAACCCAAGGCCCUGGGAGGAAGAUCAGGGAGGGGCGGAUCGCACAGAAACCCAGGAGCUCUGCCUGCAGCCCUGGGCCGUGUUCAGUGUCGGGGGUCACCUGAGCGCUCUGUCCUCCAUUCUCCCGGCAGAGCCCACGGAGACACAGCAGACACUCACCGUGCCGUCCCCGGGUUUGCAUAAGAGCCCACGUCCACGAAGUAGCAACUGCAAUGUUUUUCAAUCACACAGCGAAGAUAUUUAAAAAUAUCACCCAUAUGUGUUUUAAAUACAGGCAAAUAGCUGGCACGGCAGCCGGCUUCACACCCGCGUGCCAUUCUGAGUUCUGUCUUCUCGCUUCCAACUCUCAGAAUCGCACGUUGAAGGCCAGACGAGCCCAGAACGCGGCUCGGGCUGUGCGCCUCGGGCUCGCUUCCCCGGGAGGAACAGCCGGGCUCCCGGGCCCUGGCGGGAUCACUGGCCCUCGCCGAGAACACAGAAAUGGAACCAGGACAUUUUUAGGGACGUUUGAGGAAGUUCUCCAGCCUCCUUCGUGAAAGCAUCUUUACUGGUCCGGCGCGGGCCGGCUCCCUCACUGCCCCGCCUGCCCAGAGUGUCCCCUGUGUGGUCUUAAAGUCCUUGAAAUCCGACCUUGCUUAGAUGAGGUUUUAUAACUUGAGGCUUCCCACAUCUUCCCACCUUUUCUCUCAGAUUUAUACUUUUAUACAUCCCAAAUAAUACCCUUUGGCUAUAAGUAACAGAUAAUUCCAACUCAAACUGGUUACAAUUAUAAUAGAUCAUCUUUUUUUAAAAAAAGCUUCAGUGCAUGGUUGUGCAUCCUAGUUGUUAGUUUAGUUCUCUGUGUGAGCUACCACCACAGUGUGACAACUAACAGACGGGUGGUGUGAACCCAGCCUGGGGUGAGAGCCCUGGACCUUAACCAUAGUCCACCAGGGCUGGGUCAGUAUGAUAGAUGAUCUUAUACAAGAAGUGCAGAGGUCGGUGACUCUGAGUUUGGUGUGAUCAGUGGCUAGGUAACAUCAACACUCUACCCUGCCAUCAUCUGUGUGGCCUUUACCCUCAGCCUGCUUCUCUUCAUGGCCCCAAAAUGGCUGCCCCUGCACCAGGUAUCACAUCUAGGCACAGAAACAUCCACAGAAGACUUCAGCAGGUCUCCCCUCACAUCUCAUUGGCUAGAAGUUAGUCACAUGUCCACUCCUAGGCCAAUCACCAGCAGGGGCAAUGGGAGGAGAAGAAGCCAGAACAAUAGGUAGAAAAAGGAGGAGAAGGAGGAAGGAAAGGGGCAGGGUCACGGGGGAGGAGAUUUCUGAGAAAUCUUGGGGAACUCUCAUCUAUCCUGGGAUUGAUGUGCAUUUGGCUCUUGCUCUCUAAAGCUUCCUCCUGCUCCAGCCCCUCCCGGCUCCCUCUGCCCCAAGCUGCAAGCGUCUUGGGACAUUUCAGUCCUUCUGUCUUUUGAAGCACCAACGGGCGAAGAAGCUGACAUUCAAGGCUUUCACAAGGAGGAGAAACCAGGAGGGUGGGGGCGGCCGAGGCGAAGGACAUGGGGUUCUGGCCUGUUGCUCUCAGUGAUGGCCCUUGAGUGAGCACUGAACGGGGCCUCGUGACAGCUCCCGUGUCUGCAGGACCCAUACCCUGAACAGUUGGGGUCUUCGUGCCGCCACUCCUGAGCCCAGCAGGGAGCAGCACCCCCGUUUUACGGAAAAACGAGCCCUGGAAGGUGCUGGGUGACUUGUCAAGGCCGAAGGCAUCGCGACUCUGGCUGGCUGGGGCAUAAGAGCGGCUGGGACCCUGGCACCCAGGACCGGUGGUGGAGGCCACCAGGAAGGCUAGCGAGAGGCCAGGGAACCCCACUUACGGGCUGAAGUGGGUCCCCCUGGCAGGCGGAUGGCCGGGGGGCCUCCGUGGAGCCUCGGUCUGACUUCGGGGUGCUCACAGUCUGAGGUCAGAGGGUCACAGCAGGCUGAGAGCAGAGAGCCCCGUGGCGUCGGGGUGGGUGACCGUGGGGGCCAAGGUUGCUGAAACCCCGUGAGCGGCUCAGGCACGGGUGCAGGUCCGCUGGCUGCGGUGACACACGGGCCCGCGCACCGCGGCUGGGCCGGAGACGUGUGCGGAGCAGCACGGCCCUCGGCAGGUGCUCCCGGGCGGCGCAGGCUGUCCUCACGCGCGCUCCAGGAGCCGGGCUCCUCCCUGCUCCGCCGGCGGGCAGCUCCUCCUGGGCCGGACCCCAGCGCGUCCUUUCCAGGCAAAGGCCCCGCGGGAAGACACAGCACCUCCUGAGACGCAGGCUCAGAACCGGCGCCCAACCUCCCGCCUCGUUCCUCUGGCCAAAGCGGGUCACGUGGCUGUAGGCCCCGCCCACGGUGGGACGGUCCUGCAAAGUCACGUGGCAUUGGGCGUGGCUACAGGGAAGGGUGAAGAAUUGGGGCCAAGGACGCCGUCGGCCACAGAUUAGCCCUGAGCUAACUGCUGCCAAUCCUCCUCUUUUUGCUGAGGAAGACUGGCCCUGAGCUAACAUCCGUGCCCAUCUUCCUCUACUUUCUAUGUGGGACCCCUACCACAGCAUGGCUUGAUGAGCAGUGCCAUGUCUGCACCUGGAUCUGAACGAGUGAACCCCAGGCCGCUGAAGCGGAACAUGCACACUUAACCACUGCACCACCGAGCCGGCCCCUCAGCUGGGAUUUUUCAAGUCGCCAGUCUUUCCAUCUGCAGGCCAGGAUCGCAGAUCCCUGUCCAGUCCACUGUGAGGCCAACGAUAAUGACAGCUCCUGGACACAGCACGUUUGCAUAGUGCUUGACGCAGCUUCACUCCUGUCAUCCUCACCGCUUUGUGCAAUUAACGGCACCAUCGGACCCAUGAAGAAAAUGAGGCACAGAGAGGUCUUUCAAAAACAGACUCCGAGAUAAGGAAGCGGCAAGCUUUGGAGAUGCUCAAGAGAAAAUGCAGCCAUUAAAAAAAUUGCCAUGCGAUAGUUAUGAAAUUUCCCUAAAUUCAUUUUGUGGAGUGAGAGACAUAAUUUAAACGUGAAGUUAUCGAGAGCUGAGAUGAACCACACGUCACGUGCCAUUUAAUCUGGCAAGGAAACAGGCCACUUGGAAUUGCUAACUAGGCCUAAUUCAUUACGUCUUGGUGAACGCUGUACUUUUGCUCUUUGAGUCUUUCAACUUGUGCGUUUAAUGUGUUUACCCAGGCCUCAUGGAAAAUGGAUGGGGAUAGUAACAGAAAUACUGUAUCCUUGUUUAAAUCACGUUACAUUUUUCAAACAGCUCGGUGAUUGUUCAGAAAGAUCAUACCUUCUUCCGAAGCAUUUAUGAAACAAUUAUUUACAUUACAUUAAAAACUUUAAUUGCCUUGAAGCACGUGCUCUGAGACACAAAUAUUGGAAAAUCAUCAAAAAUAUCUGUCACGAUUCUCUCUCCUUUACAACUCUUCUAAACUUUAUGUUUUUUAUAACCCUCUGUAUUGAUCUAUUGUCCCAGACCAAGAGUGAUGUCAGAAGUCCAAGCUGGGUCAUAAAAAGAGAAUAUAAUUUUCA